AGCCUGUAGGGUAAAUUAUUAUAGGUUAAACCUGCUCAUGUGAAAAUUAAACAGCUGCGGUACCCUGACCGUACUAAGGUAGCAUAAUCAAUUGGCUUUUAAAUGGAGUCUAGAAUGAAAGGAAUUAUGGAGACCUACUGUCUCAGCGUUAUUAUUUUAUUUAAAUUACUAUUUAAGUGAAAAAGCUUAACUAAAUGAAAAAAGACGAGAAGACCCUUGGAAUUAAAAAGAUAGGUUUUGUUGGGGCAACAAGGAAUUAAAAUACUAUUCCUAAAUUCUAAAUUAUGAUUUGCCAAGAGGUUUCUAUGAAUAAUUUAAUUACCCAAGGGAUAACAGCAUAAUUUAUUUAAUAAGAUUGUGACCUCGAUGUUGGACUAAGGAAACUAAUAAUGAGCUAUUAUUAGGUUUUGUUCUGUUCGAACUUUUAAACCUU
rnacentral:rRNA from 1 species